rnacentral:rRNA from 1 species
UACGUAGGUGGCGAGCGUUGUCCGGAAUUAUUGGGCGUAAAGAGCAUGUAGGCGGUUUUUUAAGUCUGGAGUGAAAAUGCGGGGCUCAACCCCGUAUGGCUCUGGAUACUGGAAGACUUGAGUGCAGGAGAGGAAAGGGGAAUUUCCAGUGUAGCGGUGAAAUGCGUAGAUAUUGGGAGGAACACCAGUGGCGAAGGCGCCUUUCUGGACUGUGUCUGACGCUGAGAUGCGAAAGCCAGGGUAGCGAACGGG